rnacentral:misc_RNA from 1 species
GAUGAAGAACGCAGCGAAAUGCGAUAAGUAAUGUGAAUUGCAGAAUUCAGUGAAUCAUCGAAUCUUUGAACGCACAUUGCGCCCGCCAGUAUUCUGGCGGGCAUGCCUGUUCGAGCGUCAUUUCAACCAUCAAGCCCCCGGCUUGUGUUGGGGACCUGCGGCUGCCGCAGGCCCUGAAAAGCAGUGGCGGGCUCGCUGUCACACCGAGCGUAGUAGCAUACAUCUCGCUCUGGGCGUGCUGCGGGUUCCGGCCGUUAAACCACCUUCAUAACCCAAGGUUGACCUCGGAUCAGGUAGGAAGACCCGCUGAACUUAAGCAUAUCAAUAAGCAGGA